CUGGUAGUAAUUAUAGGCAACAAACUUAUGAAUAUGAGCGAUGUAAAUAUAAAAAAGAAGAUGUGGUAUGAUUGCCAAUGAGACAACUAUCCACAAAAGACCAAAAUGACACAGACAUUAACAACUAUAGGUCACCGUACGGCCUUCAACAAUGAGCAAAGCCCAUACCACAUAGUCAGUUAUAAAAGACCCCGAUAAGACAAUGUAAAACAAUUCAAACGAGAAAACUAACGGCCUUAUUUAUGUAAAAAAAAAUUAACGAAAAACAAAUAUGUAACACAUAAAAAAAC
rnacentral:lncRNA from 1 species